ACCUGGCUGGCUCAGUAGGUAGAGCAUGCGACUCUUGAUCUUGGGGUUGUGAGUUCAAGUCCCAUGUUGAGUG
rfam:Ailuropoda melanoleuca scaffold1264_79, whole genome shotgun sequence.